ACGAACGCUGGCGGCGUGCUUAACACAUGCAAGUCGAGCGGUAAGGCCACUUCGGUGGUACACGAGCGGCGAACGGGUGAGUAACACGUGAGCAACCUGCCCUUCUCUUUGGAAUAAGCGUUGGAAACGACGUCUAAUGCCGAAUAUGACCUUCUUUCGCAUGAUUGAAGGUGGAAAGCUCCGGCGGAGAAGGAUGGGCUCGCGGCCUAUCAGCUAGUUGGUGUGGGUAAUGGCCCACCAAGGCGACGACGGGUAGCCGGCCUGAGAGGGUGACCGGCCACACUGGGACUGAGACACGGCCCAGACUCCUACGGGAGGCAGCAGUGGGGAAUAUUGGACAAUGGGCGAAAGCCUGAUCCAGCAACGCCGCGUGAGGGAUGACGGCCUUCGGGUUGUAAACCUCUUUCAGCGGGGACGAAGCGAAAGUGACGGUACCCGCAGAAGAAGGACCGGCCAACUACGU
rnacentral:rRNA from 1 species